CCCACUUUGGACAGGGAGGGCACUGCUCAUGUGAUACAGAGGUUACUCGGAAGCUCAAAGGAGGCAAAUUGCAUGAAGGCACUUUGAAGAUUUUGUGGAGCACCAUCAGACUGUAUUACAGGCAUGGGUGCAGGAGAUGAAAUUAACAGUGAUCUCCAAUUGACGCAGUGCUUUCAGACCAACAGAUGCAGGCACGACAGUGAAGCCCACAGUGGAGGACCUGCUCUGGAUCCAUGGACAGCCGAAGAUGGCCAGAGUUUAAGUGCCUCCUGCCCACAAAGCUGACUCCGGACAGCUUCCUCCUCGCCUGCAGAGCUCAGCCCUCUCCUUGCGGGGGGCGGGGUGGUUGGUCUCCCAAGGCUCAGUCAGUCACCCCAGGGCCAGCUUCCCCAACUCUGACCCAGCAGCUCCUCCCGGCUGGCCCACCGAGAUCUGUGCUCUCUGCGGGUGGUGGCUGCCCUGGGAAAGCAGCAAGGAAUGGGCCAUCUACAACAGCGUUUUCAGGUCUGAAGACUGGGAGCUAGGAAAUAAGGAAAUCUGUUAAUUAAAGCACAACUGCUUUAUAGUAAUUGUAAAGGGCUGAAUUUUGGACUUCAGUAGAAAAAUGAGGUCUGUAUCAAUGAAACUUAAUUGCCAUUCUAGUCUGAAUUAGCAAUGUGCUUACUUAGACGUCCUUAUGAUUAUUUUAUAGGCCGAGAAACGUAUUUCAUCCUGGCAAAAAAAAUUACCAAUACUAACGAAUGAAACAGACCUAAGUUCAUUGUCUGAUAUGUUUACAGAUGGUAGGAAAUUAAAGUAAUACGUUAUCAAUUUAAAUGUAGGGGGUAUAAUUCCAAUUCCAAUUUUCACUGCCAACUAUAAGAUGAUCUAUGUCAGGAGAAAUGACACUUAUGUUAUGAUGGCAGUCUGUAUUUUCACUUUAAAUCUUAGGAAUCUAAAAUCCUAGAAUUUUAGAAAAAAAAAAAAACUCUUGCUUUUUUUUUUCAGGCAAAUGUGAUAUAUCAGGAGGCAGCUUGAAAAAUUUUGGAGACUUUAUCCUUAUCUUUAAAAAACUGGAAGAAACUUAAAUGAGUUCUAAUCAAUCUUAUUUUCAAUGUGUUGAGAAAUGUGGCUGCUAGAGUUUCCUUUGGGAGGUUAUUUGGUAAUGACUCACCACAGGAAACGACUACACAUUAAUUUAAGAAUCGUUAAAAAAAAAAAAAAAAAAACACCUUGACAACCCACCCCACAUGAUAUGUGUGGUAUGAUGUAUCUCUAUACAUUUUGUUUUUAGACAUUUAAACACAGAUCGGAGUCCUCUUUUUUCCUCUUCUGAAAGUUCAAAUUCUCUCCAAUUUCCAGUAUCUUAAACACUCUCGGCACAAAUGGAAGUUUUAUUUUAACAAGAACAGGGCAUUCUUGAACUAGGCAUUCGCUCGCUACUCUAUCUACCUGUUUUGCCUCCAACGCUGGAGAUGGUUUAACCACAAGUGUUUCUGUCUGUGCUGUGAGGACUUUAGUAGGAUUCUUGAAAUGAUACUCUUCAACUUCUACUUUCAGGUUGCUUACCACAGAAAUCGUUUUUGUUUCUAAAUCCAUCACUUUAAUUUGAUGAUUAUUGGUGUCUGCUACAUAUAAUAACUGGCCAUUCUCUCCAAUACACAAGCCUCCUGGUUCAUUAAAAGUUGACUCGGUAAAGCUGGAAGUGAUAACGUUA